AUGCAAAGGAGGGUGGAGUCCGACUCUGAUGAUAGCGAGACCUACCAUCAUGGGGAGGGUACCGUUGAGUUUCUUUUAGACAAAAGCACAUAUCCUGUUCCGGAUUGGUGGCUGCAAAAAUCCCCUGACAACCUGCUCGGCUGCCACUGGCCCCCCUACAGCACCAAACUGGACAUCGCGAACGCAAUUAGGCGCAACGAGGCUAGAACCCCCGAGUGGAAAACUCUUAGAGUUAAAAUUAUCCAUUCGUACUAUACCCUAGAGCAGGCUAUGGCAAGGCUGGGGGAGGCGGAGGAUACAUCAAAC